AGUGAACGCUGGCGGUAGGCCUAACACAUGCAAGUCGAGCGGCAGCACAGUAAGAGCUUGCUCUUACGGGUGGCGAGUGGCGGACGGGUGGGGAAUACAUCGGAAUCUACUUUUUCGUGGGGGAUAACGUAGGGAAACUUACGCUAAUACCGCAUACGACCUACGGGUGAAAGCAGGGGAUCUUCGGACCUUGCGCGAUUGAAUGAGCCGAUGUCCGAUUAGCUAGUUGGCGGGGUAAAGGCCCACCAAGGCGACGAUCCGUAGCUGGUCUGAGAGGAUGAUCAGCCACACUGGAACUGAGACACGGUCCAGACUCCUACGGGAGGCAGCAGUGGGGAAUAUUGGACAAUGGGCGCAAGCCUGAUCCAGCCAUACCGCGUGGGUGAAGAAGGCCUUCGGGUUGUAAAGCCCUUUUGUUGGGAAAGAAAAGCAGCAGGUUAAUACCCCGCUGUUCUGACGGUACCCAAAGAAUAAGCACCGGCUAACUUCGUG
rnacentral:rRNA from 1 species